CGCAAGCCUGACGGAGCAACGCCGCGUGUGGGAAGAAGGCUCUUGGGCUGUCAACCACUUUUCUCAGGGAAGAAGCCCUGACGGUACCUGAGGAAUCAGCCUCGGCUAACUCCGUGCCAGCAGCCGCGGUAAUACGGAGGAGGCAAGCGUUAUCCGGAAUUAUUGGGCGUAAAGCGUCCGCAGGGGGCACAUCAAGUCUGCUGUUAAAGGCUGGAGCUUAACUCCGGUAGAGCAGUGGAAACUGGUGUGCUAGAGGGCGACAGGGGUAGAGGGAAUUCCCAGUGUAGCGGUGAAAUGCGUAGAGAUUGGGAAGAACACCGGUGGCGAAAGCGCUCUACUGGGUCACACCUGACCCUCAGGGACGAAAGCUAAGGUAGCG
rnacentral:rRNA from 1 species